GGGGUAAACCUGCGAAACUCGAAUGAACGAACGGAGAGAUUCAUCGUCAUUCCUCGGCGCCCGGGUGCGCGCUCGAUGCCCUCGGCCUCGGCCGGUGGGCACGUCGCGCUCUCGUCGCGUCCGGGGACGGCGUGCACUUCUCUCUCAGUAAACAUGCAUCGCGACCCGUUCGAUGUCGGUCUAAGCGCCGUUCGGGAGCCGCGUCGUCCCUUCGCGGGGGCGGCGCGACCGUACGGACGCCGACCGGCUGUCGGACGGUAUAAUACACGAAACGCGCACGCGUAUAGAACGCGUCCGGCCCGACGCAAGUCAACGUCGUAUCCGACGUUCCGCCCGAGUGCGGACGUUGGUGCGGCGCGUCUGUUGUCGCCGCCGUGCUGUAUCGGACCGUGCGCGUCUCCGUCUGCGAUGAUUCAGUUUCGGGCACUCGCAGGACCCGUCUUGAAACACGGACCAAGGAGUCUAGCAUGUAUGCGAGUCAUUGAGAUUAUUAAACUGAAAGGCGUAACGAAAGUGAAGGCGCGCGCUAGUCGCGUGCUCAGGGAGGAUGGAGCGUCGGUCUAGGUCGACCUCUCGCACUCCCGAGGCGUCUCGUUUCCAAUCCGUGAAUGCAGGCGCGCUC
rnacentral:rRNA from 1 species